ACGGAGGACGCAAGCGUUGUUCGGAAUCAUUGGGCGUAAAGGGCUCGUAGGCGGACCUGUUUGUCUUGCGUGAAAUCUCCACCGCUUACCGGGGAGGGUGCGCAGGAAACUGCAAGUCUUGAGUAUGAUAGAGGGUCGCGGAAUUUCGGGUGUAGCGGUGGAAUGCGUAGAUAUCCGAAGGAACACCGGUGGCGAAGGCGGCGGCCGGGAUCAAUACUGACGCUGAGGAGCGAAAGCUAGGGUAGCAAACGG
rnacentral:rRNA from 1 species